rnacentral:rRNA from 1 species
AACGAACGCUGGCGGCAUGCCUAACACAUGCAAGUCGAACGAGACCUUCGGGUCUAGUGGCGGACGAGUGAGUAACGCGUGGGAACCUGCACUUCAGUGGGGGAUAACGACGGGAAACUGUCGCUAAUACCGCAUACGCCCUACGGGGGAAAGAUUUAUCGCUGAAGGAUGGGCCCGCGUCGGAUUAGCUAGUUGGUGAGGUAAUGGCUCACCAAGGCGACGAUCCGUAGCUGGUCUAAGAGGAUGAUCAGCCACACUGGGACUGAGACACGGUCCAGACUCCUACGGGAGGCAGCAGUGGGGAAUAUUGGACAAUGGGGGAAACCCUGAUCCAGCAAUGCCGCGUGAGUGAUGAAGGCCUUAGGGUUGUAAAGCUCUUUCGGUGGUGACGAUGAUGACGGUAACCACAGAAGAAGCCCCGGCUAACUUCGUGCCAGCAGCCGCCGUAA